rnacentral:rRNA from 1 species
UCGAGGGGCAGCAUGGUCUUAGCUUGCUAAGGCUGAUGGCGACCGGCGCACGGGUGAGUAACACGUAUCCAACCUGCCUCAUACUCGGGGAUAGCCUUUCGAAAGAAAGAUUAAUACCCGAUGGCAUAGUUCUUCCGCAUGGUAGAACUAUUAAAGAAUUUCGGUCAUCGAUGGGGAUGCGUUCCAUUAGGUUGUUGGUGAGGUAACGGCUCACCAAACCUUCGAUGGAUAGGGGUUCUGAGAGGAAGGUCCCCCACAUUGGAACUGAGACACGGUCCAAACUCC